rnacentral:lncRNA from 1 species
GUGGAAGAGCACACAGAGGCCUGGAAAAUCCAUAAACUGCAUAAUCAGCCCCUGCAUCUUGGCUGCUUGAAUCUGUUUAUUGCUUCCUGUCCCCGAAAGCCCUUUGCAAACAGAGUGGCUUUGAGGGGGUGAGUUGAACCUAGUGGGUGGCCUACUCCUGCCAGGCAUCAGGCCCACAGCAAGGAGGGAACAGCUUCCCUCACCGAGCCCAUUCCUGACCCCUCUACCUGCCACCACCCAGCAGAGGCUGCGGAGGGUGGGGAGAAUCCAGCCACUGAGCCCUGUGAACUUCAACCCCGGCACUGUCUGGAAGUGAGAACCCGAGCUUUCUCCUGUCUCCCUGGCCACGGAACUCUAGAGUGCACUUGUGGACGUGGGUGCGACUGCCCCAGAGCCGGCAGCAGGAUGCCCCGGUGAUGUGGACUAGCCUGGCCCAGGCCCGC